GCGAUCAUGGUGAAAUUGGUAGACACGCUAUCUUGAGGGGGUAGUGCCGCUACGGUGUGCGAGUUCAAGUCUCGCUGAUCGCACCA
rnacentral:tRNA from 1 species